GUCUACGGCCAUACCACCCUGAAUGCACCCAAUCUCGUCUGAUCUCGGAAGCUAAGCAGGGUCGGCCGUGGUUAGUACUUGGAUGGGAGACCACCUGGGAAUACCGGGUGCUGUAGGCU
rnacentral:rRNA from 1 species